UGCGGGGUAGAGCAGUCAGGUAGCUCACAUGGCUCAUAACCAUGAGGCCGAAGGUUCAAAUCCUUCCUCCGCUACCA
rnacentral:tRNA from 1 species